CCUUUAUGGUGCGUCGCUUAGCGAAAGCGUUAAGUAUCCCACCUGGGGAGUACGCCGGCAACGGUGAAACUCAAAGGAAUUGACGGGGGCCCGCACAAGCGGAGGAACAUGUGGUUUAAUUCGAUGAUACGCGAGGAACCUUACCCGGGCUUGAAUUGCGACUGACUGCAUCAGAGAUGAUGUUUCCAGCAAUGGCAGUCGUGAAGGUGCUGCAUGGUAGUCGUCAGCUCGUGCCGUGAGGUGUCGGCUUAAGUGCCAUAACGAGCGCAACCCUUUUCCCUGUUUGCCAUCGGGUAAUGCCGGGCACUCCAGGGAUACUGCCAUCGUAAGAUGUGAGGAAGGUGGGGAUGACGUCAAAUCAGCACGGCCCUUACGUCCGGGGCUACACACGUGUUACAAUGGGCGGCACAGAGGGCAGCGACCGCGCGAGCGGCAGCCAAUCCCGAAAUCCGCUCUCAGUUCGGACUGGAGUCUGCAACCCGACUCCACGAAGCUGGAUUCGCUAGUAAUCGCGCAUCAGCCAUGGCGCGGUGAAUACGUUCCCGGGCCUUGCACACACCGCCCGUC
rnacentral:rRNA from 1 species